GAGCGCUAGAGGUGCAGCGUGGGCAUGCAGACCAAGGCCUUUGGUGGGCCCGUCCUAAAACCAGACCAGCUCCUUCCCCCCUUGGAGAAGGCGGGGGAGCGGCCGGGGUUCGUCCAGUGGGGAAUCCUUUGCAGACCCCACUGCAGUCCGGGGGCGAGGGGCCCCCUGGCCCUACAAUGCCCCGCUCCAGAGCUCUGCCUUCAAAAGGUGGAGGCCGAGGGGGAAGUGGGGUUUCUUCUCCACGGGACCCUGCCUGCCAGCGGCCCCUUUUGCAGGGUCCACAGGGGACAGAGGAACCCCGGGAAUGAAGAGUGGGGCCCCUUUCACCGAGGGAGAGGGGAGUAGCUAAUAACCCACAAAUGACUCACAAAUAACAGGAAAGCUGUUUGCAAACAUGUAAAUGCCUCGCCGCCUCCCCCACUCCUCGCUUAGAGAGAGCGAUGAGCAAGCGAUGGAGCUGCAGCCGCUGCCGGCCUGCCCUGGCCCUGAGCGGAGGUUCUGGAAGGCCCGGGAGCCACCAGCCGCAGGGGAAGAACUCUGCACUCACACAGCGUCGCAGCCUCAGCCUGAGGGUCUUGAGCUUCUCUCCCAGGGAGUUCACGUGGUUCUUGAUGUCUGGGUCGUGGUUCUCAGCCCGGGGCAUCACCUCCUCCAAGUAAAACUGGAUCAUCUCCGACAGGGCUUGGCAACCCAGCAAAGGAAGCGGACCCAGCUCCCAGCGGCCUCCCUGCUCUGAGUCACGCUGCUGCCUCCCCUCCCGCACACCCAGCCGGGCUCUCACCUUAAAGUCCUCCAGCAGGGACCCGGUCAGCAGUAUGUUGUCCAGCUUGUCCUUCAUUUGCUGCAAGAAGAACAAAAGGAGAAUGAGCCGGAGGACGGAGGAAAUGUCUUUUCCGAUGCCCUCUUAUUUAUAGAGCUUCUGAUGUUUCAUCAGCGCAGCCUGGCCCCAAAAAAUGGAAAGGAGAUUUUCAACACAGGACAUUCAAUAGCGCUGGAACCCUUAGUUCAAUCGGGUCAUUUCCCCGAGGAUCCAGUUGUUUUUUUAAAAAAGGCUGCCGGGCGUUGGAACCACGAGAAGCUUGCCUGGGUGCCGGUGUCCUCUCUGCAGAGCCCGAUCAGAUGCACAAACCGAGGACCAAAGAAGAGACUUUCCUAGGGACAAGAAAUAGUAAUGGCAAAGGUGGAAUCUGAUGUCAAUUCUCUUCUGGUUGUUCUUCUCCAAUCAGCACCUAAUUCCUUGACUCAGAUGAGCAUUAAUAACUCUCAACUCUCAGGGCCAGCACCAACGACUAGAGGGCGCUAAGACGUGAGCCCUGUGUGGAGUUGCAAUGGUGAGAAGUCAAAAGUCAUGGAAAUGAGUUUCCAUUUACAAAGCUAUCGUGAAUCUAUUACGUGCCUGUGAGAUGUUGCCCAAAGCUGGUCAACUGCGCAGCGAGAGAGCCGAACCCUCCUUAGACGGCCAACAAGCACAGGAAGAUUCGGGGAGCAUCAUCAUCAGGGAAACGCAAAUCAAACCCACCCCGAGCUAGCACCUCACACCGGUCAGCACGGCUAGUACUGAAAAGACAAGAAAUAACCAGGGUUGGCGAGGCCGGGGAGAGAAAGGACCCUCCGUGCGCUGCUGCUGGGAAUGCAAAACGGGUGCCGCCACGAUAGAAGGCAGUGUGGAAGUUCCUCAAAAAACUAAAAAUAGGACUAGCAUAUGAUCCAGCGAUCCUGUUUCUGGGUAUUUAUCUGAAGAAAACAGAACUAACUUGAAAAGAUCUGUGCACCCCAUGUUCAGUGCAGCAUUAUUUGCAAGAGCCAAGAUACAGAAACUACCCAAGUGUCCAGUGUCCGUUGAACGGAUAAAGAAAAGGUGCUAUAUAUGUAUUAUUCAGGCCUUAAAAAAAUGAAAUCUCGCCAUUUGUGACGACAUGGGUGGACUCUCGGGACAUUAUGCUAAGUGCAAUAAGUCAGACAGAAAGCCAAUACCAAAAAAAAGAAAAAGAAAAAGGAAAAAGAAAGAGAAAAAGAAAAGAAAGCCAAUACCUUACA